GUGAUGGACCAAACAUCUGUGCAGAAGGAGGCACAUCCUGGAGGAAGCAUUUUCCCAUGGGGAGCCCCUGCUGCAGGGAGGAAGGCGAUGCCAGACACGGGCACAGGCACAGCAGAUGCAGCCAGCACCACAACACGUCUUCCCCAUGCCCAGAAGGGCCUCAGAAGUGUCUUCUAUAUGGGAACAGGCUGCUGGGCAGGGGUAAUGGCAGGCCUGCUACUGUUGGACCUUAUUCUCAUAUUGUGCUGUGUCAGAAUCUGGUGUUACUGGAAGAAGAAAUGGAGCACCUCUGGCACUUCACAAGACCGGCCAAAGGCCUCAGCCAUGGAGAACUUGGCCUGUCAUCAUGCAUCUGCGUGCCAGUGUCCAUUGUCCCUUCCUGAGGUGCAUUACCACCUUAUUACUGCAAAUACGCCGCAACCACUGCCUAGAACAGAACCACCUCUCCCUGAAGGGACUGGCGUCGCUCUCCAUCCAGGACAGGAGGUGCAGCCUUCUAGCCACUUCAUGGAUUGUUGAAAAAGUUAUCAUUACUUCUAAAAUUUUUAAAUGUUUAUUAAAAACCUUAUUAGAAAUAUAAGAGGACACUGAAUAAAGACAAUUUUACGGCGCCGGGAGUAGAGGAUUUUUCCCACCAUGUGCUCAUCCACAAAAUGGAGGUUUCACCUUUUAACUGUUUUGCUCUUAUUAAUGUUCUGUCCAUCGACUCCUUCUUUGAUGUCCAGUGGUGGAGUUUACUUCCUUACAUCUCGAUUGGAGGUCAGGUGCUGCCGUCGUAGCAAGGUGACCCUCUUAUAUGUCCCAAACUCAGGUAACUCCAUGAUAACACAACAGGGGGUAAAACAUAUCUAUAAAUAUAUAAAACUUCUCUUAACAUAUAUGCAUGAUAUUUAUCCUUUAAUUGUGAGAGUCAACUGUCACAUUACUCAUCUA